rnacentral:lncRNA from 1 species
UUCUUGAAUGGAGGAAGAAUAACUGGUGGUUUGUAUAUUGGAACAACGGGUGGCUUUGGAAUUACUACUGGAGGCUUAUAUAUUGGAACAGGUGGUAGAACUGGGUGCUCAAUCUUUGGUGGACAUGGUUUCUUGAUCGGGACUGGUGGUGGAAGUGCCUUUGGAACCGGUGGAGGUUUGUAUACUGGAACAGGUGGUAAAACUGGAUGUUCAACCUUUGGUGGUGGACAUGGUUUCUUGACCGGAACCGGUGGUGGUUGUGGCUUUGGAACUGGAGGAGGUUUGUAUACUGGAGCAGGUGGUAGAACUGGAUGUUCAACCUUUGGUGGUGGACAUGGUUUCUUGACUGGAACAGGAGGAGGAAGAGGUUUAUGAUAUACAGGCGUAGGUGGAGGGAGAGGUUUAUGAUAAACAGGCACAGGUGGAGGAAGAGGUUUCUCAUACACAGGUGUAGGUGGAGGGAGAGGUUUAUGGUAAACAGGCACAGGCGGAGGAAGAGGUUUCUCGUAGACAGGUGUAGGUGGAGGAAGAGGUUUCUCAUAAACAGGUGUAGGAGGAGGGAUAGGUUUUUCAUAGAUAGGCACAGGUGGAGGACAAGGUUUCUUGUAGAUAGGAAUAUGAGGAAAGGGAGGUUUGUAAAUAGGAAUAUGAGAAAAUGGAGGUUUCUUGUAGAUAGGAACAGGAGGAAAAAGAGGGUGUUUAUGGAAAAUCUUUGGUGGAAAUGUUGGAAAAACUUUAGGGGGAAAUUGAGGUAAAUCAGGAUGAGGAAGCUUAGGAAAAAGAGGAUGUUUGAAGAGAGGCCAAAAGAAUUUGGAG